CAGCAGCCGCGGUAAUACGUAGGGUGCGAGCGUUAAUCGGAAUUACUGGGCGUAAAGCGCACGUAGGCGGACCUGAAAGUUGGGGGUGAAAUCCCGGGGCUCAACCUCGGAACUGCCUUCAAAACUACGGGUCUGGAGUUCGAGAGAGGUGAGUGGAAUUCCGAGUGUAGAGGUGAAAUUCGUAGAUAUUCGGAGGAACACCAGUGGCGAAGGCGGCUCACUGGCUCGAUACUGACGCUGAGGUGCGAAAGCGUGGGGAGCA
rnacentral:rRNA from 1 species